UUUAUAUUCGGCCGUGGCACCAGGUUGACUGUCAUCAGUCAGCCGAAGGCCAGUCCCAUGCUCACGCUGUUCCCACCCUCCUCCGAGGAGCUGAAAACCAACAAGGCCACACUGGUGUGUCUGGUGAAUGACUUCUACCCGGCUGAGGUGACGGUGACCUGGAAGGCAGAUGGCACAACCGUCACCCAGGGCGUGCACACCACCACGCCCUCCAAACAAAGCAACAACAAGUACGCGGCCAGCAGCUACCUGAGCAUGACUGCCGACCAGUGCCGAAAUCACAGCGCGUUCACCUGCCAGGUCAUCCACGAGGGAAGCACCGUGGAGAAGAGCGUGACCCCUACAGAAUGUUCUUAG